rnacentral:sRNA from 1 species
UACCGCUUCCUCACUCCCUUCACCUCCAUGAAGCUGAGGGGGCCGGUCCCACGCAUGGACGGCCUGGAGGAGGCCCACGGCAUGUCGGCUGCCAUGGGACCCGAACCGGUGGUGCAGAGUGUGCGAGGAGCUGGCACGCAGCCAGGACCUUUGCUCAAGAAGCCAUACCAGCCAAGAAUUAAAAUCUCUAAAACAUCAGUGGAUGGCGAUCCCCACUUUGUUGUGGAUUUCCCCCUGAGCAGACUCACCGUGUGCUUCAACAUUGAUGGGCAGCCCGGGGACAUCCUCAGGCUGGUCUCUGAUCACAGCGACUCUGGUAAGUUCUACCUUCCGCUGCAGCAUCUGGGCAAGGACCAGGUAGGUACUGCAUCCCCCUCUGUUCUUCAGAUGGAUGUCCAGUGAUCCAAGGGCCACCUUAUAGACGCUCAGUGAGUAUUGUCAGUGGUUAAGGGAAGCGCACUGCGCUCCUGGACUUACGCAUCCGACUCCCUGCUUUGUGACAAGUGCCGUGUGGCCUUGGGCACAUGCCUUGGGAGUUGUUUCCCUUGUAAAAUGGAGAUAGGAACACUCUCUUGGCCUCACAGAGCUAAUAUAAAGUGGAUCAAAUGAAACUGGUUAUGAAGUUGUUUUUUAAAUGCUCAAGUGCUUUAGAAAUCCGCUAUGUAGGCUGGGCGCGGUGGCUCAUGCCUGUAAUCCCAGCACUUGGGGAGGCCGAGGCAGGUGGAUCACCAGAGGUCAGGAGUUCAAGACCAGCUUGGCCAACAUGGUGAAACCUCGUCUCUACUAAAGUUACAAAAAAAUUAGCCCGGCAUAGUGGUGGGC